CCUUUUGUAUAAUGGGUCAGCGACUUAUAUUCUGUAGCAAGGUUAACCGAAUAGGGGAGCCGAAGGGAAACCGAGUCUUAACUGGGCGUUAAGUUGCAGGGUAUAGACCCGAAACCCGGUGAUCUAGCCAUGGGCAGGUUGAAGGUUGGGUAACACUAACUGGAGGACCGAACCGACUAAUGUUGAAAAAUUAGCGGAUGACUUGUGGCUGGGGGUGAAAGGCCAAUCAAACCGGGAGAUAGCUGGUUCUCCCCGAAAGCUAUUUAGGUAGCGCCUCGUGAAUUCAUCUCCGGGGGUAGAGCACUGUUUCGGCAAGGGGGUCAUCCCGACUUACCAACCCGAUGCAAACUGCGAAUACCGGAGAAUGUUAUCACGGGAGACACACGGCGGGUGCUAACGUCCGUCGUGAA
rnacentral:rRNA from 1 species